UCCACGUCAACAAAAAAUAAUUAAUUAUUAACCACAUUUUUUUUAAUAAUAAUAACAACUUAGAACAGAAAAAAAAGGAAUAAAAGUCUAAUAAGUCCACCAAAUGAUCCAUUAAUAACAGUUUGCUUUAAUUAAUCUGAUUCCAUCUCAAAUCGAUGCCAAAUGUCAACGGUACAUAUAUCUUCCUCAUCACUUUCGCCAUUUUACUUGUCCCAUUUAUCAUCAUAUUGAAGAAAAAAUUUGUGUGUUGUGACGAUGAAUCGCAGCCACAUUCGAAUAAUAAUACAGCCGAUGGAAUAGCAACAUCUCGGUGUCCGCCAGAAAAUCCAGCUGGUGAAGUAGCGAUUGGUAUUUACGAGGGAGAAAUUAGAGUGAAAAAUAGUGAUUGUUCGAUUUGUAUUGCUGAAAUUAAAAAAGGAGAGAGGUGUGUGAUUCUUCACCCUUGUUGUCAUGGAUUUCAUGUUGAUUGUAUUCGUCCUUGGUUUGAAGAUAAAGAUACGUGCCCCAUGUGUCGGACCACUGUUAGUGAGUUGUCACGUAUAACACGGUAUCGAGAAAGUCUCGCAUCAUGAUGACUCGAUCCAUAUUUAUGUCUAACUAUAGCAGCUAUGUGGUUGGAAUUGAAUCAUCUUAUAUUGUGUAAAUUAGAAUCUCAUCUCUUCGUAAAUGGCCAAGAAUGUGGACUCUCCAUUUGAAGAUCCAUCCACUGUAAUCAGUUAUGUCUCUGUUAGAGUUGUGAUCCGAAUUUUGUUGAUCCGGUCCUGAAAGUUUCCCGGUGCGACCAAUGUUUGUGAUUUUCAAUGGGUCUGUGGUGGUAGCGUAGGGUAUGGACCUUUAUGUUUUUGGACCUAGGACUUAUUUGUACGCACGUAUUAUAUAAGUGCGAUUUAGUGGGCUGUUUCGGAUCAUUCUUAUACACACGCGAAAUUGAGACUAUUGUCCCAACAUUGUACUCUCUCUCCAUUAUAGUGAAUUCCUCUGCCUCUGUCCGUGUUUUUUCCUGCAAA